rnacentral:rRNA from 1 species
GACGAACGCUGGCGGCGUGCUUAACACAUGCAAGUCGAACGGAAAGGCCCUGCUUUUGUGGGGUGCUCGAGUGGCGAACGGGUGAGUAACACGUGAGUAACCUGCCCUUGACUUUGGGAUAACUUCAGGAAACUGGGGCUAUUACCGGAUAGGAGCUCUUGCUCCAUGGUGGGGGUUGGAAAGUUUCGGCGGUUGGGGAUGGACUCGCGGCUUAUCAGCUUGUUGGUGGGGUAGUGGCUUACCAAGGCUUUGACGGGUAGCCGGCCUGAGAGGGUGACCGGCCACAUUGGGACUGAGAUACGGCCCAGAAUCCUACGGGAGGCAGCAGUGGGGAAUAUUGCACAAUGGGCGGAAGCCUGAUGCAGCAACGCCGCGUGCGGGAUGACGGCCUUCGGGUUGUAAACCGCUUUCGCCUGUGACGAAGCGUGAGUGACGGUAAUGGGUAAAGAAGCACCGGCUAACUACGUG